rnacentral:rRNA from 1 species
UACGUAGGGUGCAAGCGUUGUCCGGAAUUAUUGGGCGUAAAGAGCUCGUAGGCGGUUUGUCGCGUCUGCUGUGAAAACUCGGGGCUUAACUCCGGGCCUGCAGUGGGUACGGGCAGACUAGAGUGCGGUAGGGGAGACUGGAAUUCCUGGUGUAGCGGUGAAAUGCGCAGAUAUCAGGAGGAACACCGGUGGCGAAGGCGGGUCUCUGGGCCGUAACUGACGCUGAGGAGCGAAAGCCAGGGGAGCAAACGGG